UCUAGAGGCUUCGGCAAUGGACGAAAGUCUGACCGAGCGACGCCGCGUGUGCGAUGAAGCCCUUCGGGGUGUAAAGCACUGUCAGUAGGGACGAAAGCGCGGGAGGAGUCCUUCUCGCGCCUGACGGUACCUGCAGAGGAAGCGCCGGCUAACUCUGUGCCAGCAGCCGCGGUAAUACAGAGGGCGCAAGCGUUGUUCGGAUUUAUUGGGCGUAAAGGGCGCGUAGGCGGGCGAGUCAGUCCGAUGUAAAAUCUUCACAGCUCAACUGGAAGGAGCCAUCGGAUACUACUCGUCUUGAGGCCAUUAGAGGUGGACGGAAUUCCUGGUGUAGCGGUGGAAUGCGUAGAUAUCAGGAAGAACACCGAUUGCGAAGGCGGUUCACUGGGAUGGCCCUGACGCUGAGGCGCGAAAGCCAGGGGAGCAAACG
rnacentral:rRNA from 1 species